rfam:Phytophthora infestans T30-4 supercont1.4485 genomic scaffold, whole genome shotgun sequence.
AACCACUUCGGUGGUCAUCCGUAAAAAUUGGAGCGAUACAGAGAAGAUUAGCAUGGCCCCUGCGCAAGGAUGACACGCAUAAAUCGAGAAGUAUCGCACUUUUUG